rnacentral:rRNA from 1 species
UACGUAGGGUGCAAGCGUUAAUCGGAAUUACUGGGCGUAAAGCGUGCGCAGGCGGUGAUGUAAGACAGUUGUGAAAUCCCCGGGCUCAACCUGGGAACUGCAUCCGAUACUGGAUGGCUUGAAUCCGGGAGAGGGAUGCGGAAUUCCAGGUGUAGCGGUGAAAUGCGUAGAUAUCUGGAGGAACACCGGUGGCGAAGGCGGCAUCCUGGACCGGCAUUGACGCUGAGGAGCGAAAGCCAGGGGAGCAAACGGG